AUGCGCAUGUGCACGACUUCCCAGGCGGCCACCGCGGCCGCUGAGCAGCUGCCUUGUUGCCCCGGGAGGCUCCCUUCCAGUAAUGCAGGGGAAGAGUCUGUAACACAUCGCAGUGACACGCAGGGCAACAUAAGAUGCUCCUCGAGAAGACAGUGGUCAGCCCUCAGGGAUAAAUCUGAAUCAUUAUCAUAUGUUAAACGAUACACAGCACAUGAAAAUAAUCUAUGAGAGAAAGAAAACAAGUGAAGUGAUCUCUCUGAUUACUCAGGCUUAGCAUCUAGAUGCAGCUUCCAUGCAUCAGUGGUGGGAAACAGCUGUCGUACCACUGAAAAAAGAAGAUAAAGAUUUGCAUCAGGGAGGCCAAGGUGGAUGCAUGUAUCUGGGCAUGUCUCAGAGAAAACAACCCGAGGCCAAGGAUAAAACCAAAGGAAAGUAGUAAGUCAAAUAAGUCCCAGAGAUUCACAGGUCUUGUAAGAGACUGCUUUCACAUUUCAAACAGUGAGAAUCUAUAAUACGCAGUGUAUUAGUUAAUACACCCUCACAUGUGUCUAAGCUUGGUAGUGGGACUAAAAUACCUUUAAGCUAAAAAUAAGCAAGACCUCUAAGACUUCACUGUAAUGAAGCCUAAAAGCCAAUCAUAACACACACACACACACACACACACACACACACACACACACCACACACACUCAAAUAACUUUGUAUCAUAUGUUGGAUAUCAUUUAAAGGAAUGCAACAAAAUUCAGCAUCUAAUAAUAUAAAAUUGGUAAUUCCUGGCAUUCAGGAUAGAACUAUCAGGGACACAGAACAGCAGGAUAUUAUGACUCAUGAUCAAGAAAACAAAAAACAAAUCAUUAGACACAUACAAAUUAAGUGAUGAUAUAAAUAGAAGACAAGGAUAUUAAAGCAUAAUAUUCCUGAUAUGUUCAAUAAUUUAUAAAAAAAUAUCUUUGAUAAAGAGAAAUGUAUAAGAAAAUUCAAAUGGAACUUCUGGAGUUGAAAAAUGAUGUAUCUGCAAAAAAAAUACAAUAGAUGGGGACACCUGGGUGGCUCAGUUGGUUGUAUCUGACUCUCAAUUUCGGCUCAUGUCAUAGUCUCAGGGUCAUGAGAUCUAGUCCUGUGUCAGGAUCUGCUGUAUGCAUGGAGCCUGAUUAAGAUUCUCUCUCUUCCUCUCCUUCUGUCCCUGCUUCCCUUCCACACUUAUCUUGCUCUUUCUUUUUCUCAAAAACAACAACAACAACAAAAUAGAUGAAAUAAGAGAUUAGUCACUGCAGAAUGAAAAUAUUAGGGAACUUGAAAAUAGAGCACGGGAAGAGCUUCAGUGACUUGUGUGACAAUAUUAUACAGUCUUCCAUAUGUAUAAACUGAAGAGAAAAAAAUUAAAUAAUGGCUAAAUGCUUUCCUACAGUAGCAAAAAAUAUAAAUCCAUAGAUACAAUAAUUUUAGUGUGAAUAACUUUCAAAUUAUGAAAAAUGAGAGGAGUUAGAAAAAAGAUUAUAUACCAUAGAAUUUACAUAAUGUAAAAAUAUUGUUUAAGUACGUAGAUCAAUGGAUGCCCUAGAUUGGUGGAUGGUUUUUAUUUUUUUAUUUUUAUUUUUUUAAAGAUUUUAUUUAUUUAUUCAUGGGAAAGAGAGAGAGAGAGAGAGAGAGAGAGAGAGAGAGGGGCAGAGACACAGGCAGAGGAAGAAGCAGGCUCCAUGCAAGGAGCCCAAAGUGAGACUCGAUCCGGGUCUUCAGGAUCCUGCCCUGGGCUGAAGGCAGCGCUAAACCGCUGAGCCACCUGGGUUGCCCUGGUAGAUGGUUUUUCAAAGGAAAUUGACUGUCAAGGUAUAUGAGACAACUUUCUACAGUUGUAGAAAUAAUAUGUAGUAUGAUUUUAUGAUGGAUAUUACUGUGUAUAUUUGUCAACAUUAAAGAAGUUUGUGAAUUUUUUUUAAGUUUGUGAAUUUUAAUAAACUUAAAUGAUGCCCA
rnacentral:lncRNA from 1 species